rnacentral:lncRNA from 10 species
AAUGUUGUAAGUCAGGCUCCCUAGAAGCAGAGCCUGAGGCGGGGAUUCAGCUGCACGUGAUGUCUUCGGGGAGUGCUCCCAUGAGAAGGAAGUGAGGGAAGCCACAUGUGACAGAGGAAGAAGCUGAGCAAAGAUGUGGUUUUCAUCUAGAAUCUAGCCUUAGCAUGAUCCCACAGAGAGCUCAGAAGUAUGAAUAGCACCACAGUGUUGGUCUCACCCUGGGGCAAGAGGACCAGCCUUUAUACAACAGAGUCACACAGCACUGUUUGCAGGCUGCUGGGGGUGAGUAACCUCCCAGACAAGGCGACCCCUGUUGGCCAAAAAUAACUCUCUAGAAAAUGGGGCAGUUGUGAGUCAUUAUCAACCAUCACUCCCUGCAGCUGGGGGAAAGAUGCACCAGGCAGCUGUAUGAGCUUAAUUGUGUCCUCCAAAAUGUCAUAUGUGGAAACCCUAACCUCCAGUACCUCAGAAUGUGACUCUAUUUGGAGACAGAGCCUUUUUUUUGUUGUUGUUUGUUUUGUUUUGUUUUUGAGACGGAGUCUCUCUCUGUCGCCCAGGCUGGAGUGCAGUGGCGCGAUGUCGGCUCACCGCAAGCUCCACUUCCCGGGUUCAGGCCAUUCUCCUGCCUCAGCCUCCGGAGUAGCUGGGGCUACAGAUGCUCGCCAUCACGCCCAGCUAAUUUUUUGUAUUUUUAGUAGAGACGGGGUUUCAUCAUGUUAGCCAGGAUGGUCUCGAUCUCCUGACCUCGUGAUACACCCACCUCGGCCUCCCAAAGUGCUGGGAUUACAGGCAUGAGCCACCGCGCCCGGCCGACAGCGCCUUUAAAGAGGUAAUUAACUUAAAAUGAGGCUGUUAGGUUGGCCCCUAAUCCAGUCUGACUGAUAUCCUUAUAAGAAGAGGAAUUAGGACACACAGAGAGACACCAGGAAUACAUAUGCACAGAAGAAAGACCAUUUGAGGACACAGAGAGACUAUGGCCAUCUGCAAGCCAAAGAGAGAGACUCAGAAGAAACCCAUCCUGCACGUGCCUUGAUCUUGGACUUCUAGCCACCAGAGCUAUGAGAAAACACAUUUCUGUUGUUUAAGCCAAAGCUAGUGGUACUUUUUGGUAGCUUGAGCUGACUGAGACAGCAGAUGAACAGGAUCUGGAUGGCACCAACAACAUCCACUACAUCUUUUUUUUUUUUUUUUUUUUUUGAGAUGGAGUCUCACUCUAUCAUCCAGGCUGGAGUGCAGUGAUGUGAUCUCGGCUCACCACAACUUCCACCUCCCAGAUCCAACUGAUUAUCCUGCCUCAGCUUCCCGAGUAGCUGAAAUUAUAGGUGUGAACCACCAUACCCAGCUAAUUUUUAGCAGAGACAGGGUUUCACCAUGUUGGCCAGGCUGGUCCGAUUUUUUUGUAUUUUUAGUAGACACGAGGUUUCACCAUGUUGGCCAGGCUGGUCUCAAACUCCUGACCUCAGGUGAUCUGCCUGCCUUGGCCUCCCAAAGUGCUGGCAUUACAGUUGUGAGCCACUGCGUCCAGCCUCCCCUACAUCUUCAUGUAUGCUCUCCACCCAAAUCAUCUCUCCUUUCCUUCCCCACCUCCUCCCAAAAACAGCUCAUUUAAAUCUGUCUGCCCUCUCUUCAUUGGGAGCUACAGUGCCAAUUAUAGGAACCAGCUAAUUUCCUCUAUCAGCUGCCUGCCCCAGACAGGAGCCAACCAGUUUUCCCAGCCUCCUUUCAGCACUUUUGACAUCUCAAUGAAAACAGUGCAAAUGGGCUAGGAAUGGUCUUUUGGUUGAAAUGAGCCAUAAACCAUCAAAUAAUUGCACAUGUUUCUAUAUUUCAGCCCUUAACCCACCAUUGAUACCCAGUUCUGACUUAGGGGAUUUAUGUGUCCUUGCCCAGUCUACAAAGAGCUUAAGAAUUGUUCCCAUGAUCUCCAUGGAGGGGCAGAGCAUCACAAAGGGAAGGAGACAGAGUUGGCUAAACUUUCUGAGAUGAGAUCUUUAGUUAUUAAAUCAUUAAGGUUAGUUUUCUUUCCAAUGUUGGAUGUUUCUUGUUGCAACACUAACUCUAUUGAUCCAGUUUCCACCUAACAGGGGGAAUUCUCCAGCCUUCCAGUUGGCUGAACAAGUUUCCAAGGAGUGGACACCAAGUUUGCUAAGUUUAGGGUUGGUAAGUUUGAGUAAGAACUUUGGCUUUUUAUCUGGGUGAAAUUGGGAGCCAUUGGUGAAUGUAUUAGAUUGCUAGGGCUGUCAUAACAAAGUAUCCCAGACUGGAUGGCUUAAACAACAGAAACUAAUUUUGUCACCAUUCUGGAGGCUUGAAGUCCAAGACCAAGGUGUCAGCAGGGUUGGUUUCUCCUCAGGCCUCUUUCCUUGGCUUGUUGAGAUGGCAGUCUUCUUCUAUAACUUCACAUGGUCUUCCCUUUAUGUGUGGUGUCCAAUUUUCCUCUUUUUUUUUUUUUUUUUUUUUUUGAGGUGGAGUCUCACUUUGGCUGGAGUGCAGUGGCAUGGUCUCGGCUUACAACAACCUCCACCUCCCGGGUUCAAGUAAUUCUCCUGCCUCAGCCUCUCGAGUAGCUGGGAUUACAGGCACCUACCACCAAGCCCAGCUAAUUUUUGUAUUUUUAGUAGACACGCGGUUUCACCAUGUUGGCCAGGCUGGUCUCGAACUCCUGACCUGAAGUGAUCCACCUGCCUCAGCCUCCCAAAGUGCUGAGAUUAGAGGUGUGAGCCACUGCAUCUGGCUUCUUCUUUUUUGUCACUGCAGCCUCGAUCUCCAGGACUCAAGUGAUUCCCCCACCUCAGCUUCCCAAAUAGCUGGUGGGACUACAGGUGCACACCACCACGCCCGGCUAAUUUUUAUAUUUUUUUAUGGAAUCGGGGUUCUGCUGUGUUGCCCAAGCUGGUCUCGAACUGCUGGGCUCUAGCGAUCUGCCCACCUUGACCUCCCAAAGUGCCGGGAUUACAGGCAUAAGCCGCUGCACCUGGCCUCCAUUUUCCUCUUCUAAUAAACACAUAAGUCAUACACAUUAGACCCCACCCUAAUGACCUCGUUUUAACGUAAUUGCCUCUUUGAAGACUCUAUCCCCAAAUACAGUUACAUUUUGAGGUACUGGGGCUUAGAACUUCAACAUAUGAACUGAAUUGGAGGGGGACACAAUUCAGCCCAUAACAGAGGGUUUUGGACAGAAGAAGGACUUUGUAAUGUCUUAACUGACUUUUUUUAUAGUAAAUAAGAGAAAUGUGGCUGUGUCCUGCCCGGCUCCCAGGCAGCCAGAGCUAAUGGUUAUCUCCCUUGUUCCCUGAACAUCGCUGUUAUCCUGUUCUUUCUUCAAGGUGCCCAAAUUUCAUAUUGUUUAAACACACAUGCUUUACGAAUAAUUUGUGCAGUUAAUGCAACCAUCACAGGGUCUUGAGGCAACAUACAUCUUCAGUUUACGAAGAUGACGGGAUUAGGAGAUUAAAGUAAAGACAAGCAUAGGAAAUUUUAAGAGUAUUGAUUGGGGAAGUGAUAAAUGUCCAUGAAAUCUUCACAAUUUAUGUUCAGAGAUUGCAGUAAAGACAGGCCUAAGAAAUUAUGAAAGUAUUAAUUUGGAGAACUAACAAAUGUCCAUGAAAUCUUCACAAUUUAUGUUCUUCUGUCACAGCUUCAGCAGGUCCCUCUGUUCAGGGUCCCUGACUUCCCACAACAAUAGCAGAGACAGGGUCUUGCUCUGUUGCCCAGGCUGGAGUGCAGUGGCAUGAUCACAGCUCAUUGCAGCCUUGAACUCCUGGCUCAAGCAAUCUUUCUGCCUCAACGUCCAAAAGCACUGGAAUUACAGGAGUCCUAUUUAAAAAGUACCUGCAUUCCUCAAAUAGUCAAAACAACAUUGAAAAAGAAGAGCAAAGUUGAAGGACCCAUACCUCCUGAUUUCACAACUUACUACAAAGCCACAGUAAUGAAA